rnacentral:rRNA from 1 species
AGCGAACGCUGGCGGCAGGCCUAACACAUGCAAGUCGAACGAACUCUUCGGAGUUAGUGGCGGACGGGUGAGUAACACGUGGGAACGUGCCUUUUGGUUCGGAAUAACUCAGGGAAACUUGUGCUAAUACCGAAUGUGCCCUUAGGGGGAAAGAUUUAUCGCCAUUAGAGCGGCCCGCGUCUGAUUAGCUAGUUGGUGAGGUAACGGCUCACCAAGGCGACGAUCAGUAGCUGGUCUGAGAGGAUGACCAGCCACACUGGGACUGAGACACGGCCCAGACUCCUACGGGAGGCAGCAGUGGGGAGUCUUGCGCAAUGGGCGAAAGCCUGACGCAGCCAUGCCGCGUGAAUGAUGAAGGUCUUAGGAUUGUAAAAUUCUUUCACCGGGGACGAUAAUGACGGUACCCGGAGAAGAAGCCCCGGCUAACUUCGUG